AUCGUUAAGACAGCUAGGAGGUUGGCUCAGAAGCAGCCAUCCUUUAAAGAAAGCGUAACAGCUCACUAGUUAAACGAUUUUGCGCCGAAGAUUCAACGGGGCUUAAGUAAAAAACCGAAGCCGUGGCUUUGUCGUAAGACAAGGGGUAGGGGAGCAUUGAUACAGCUGCGAAGCUUUAUCGUGAGGUAAGGUGGAGCGGUAUCAAGCGAGUAUGCUGGAAUGAGUAACGAGAUCCGUGUGAAAACCACGGACGCCGAAAAUCUGAGGUUUCCUCCGCCAUGCCAGUCAGCGGAGGGUUAGUCGAUCCUAAGGUCAGGCUGAAAAGCGUAGCCGAUGGAUAGCAGGUUAAUAUUCCUGCACUAUUGUGAAUUCGUUAUUACUAACGGGGUGACGAGACAUGACAGAUUGGGCCUGAUAAGGAUUUAGGUCCCAAAAGCGAAGUAGUUUGUAUAGGCAAAUCCGUACAAGCGUUUUAACCCAAGCUUAGGGAAAGCCCGUCGCAAGACGGGUGAUUCAAUUGGUUCAAGUUUCCUGGAAAACCCUCUAAGGAGAAUUCAUAAUAUUCGUACCGCAAACCGACACAGGUAGAUUGGUAGAGAAUACCAAGGCGAACGAGAGAAUGGUGGUUGAGGAACUAGGCAAAUUUCAUCCAUAACUUAGGGAAAAGGAUGCCCCGUCAAUAGGCGGGGGGCACAGAAAUGGCUCGGGCGGCUGUUUAACAAAAACACAGGUCUCUGCUAAACCAUCAAUGGGAUGUAUAGGGACCGACGCGUGCCCAGUGCCCGUAGGUUAAGGUCGGGGGUGAUCUUCGCUUUUGCGAAGUGAGCUCUUGAUUUAAGCCCGGGUGAACGGCAGCAGUAACUAUAACUGUUCUAUGGUAGCGUAAUCCCUUGCCGGGUAAGUUCCGGCCCGCACGAAACGCGUAACGAUCUGAGCGCUCUCUUAACCACUAACUCGGUGAAAUUGAACUACCGGUGAAGAUGCCGGUUACUCAUUGUUGGACAGAGAGACCCCGUGGAGCUUUACUGUAACUUGGUAUUGGUAAUCGGUUUUAGUUGUGUAGUGUAGGAGGGAGUUCACCCUUAAACCGGUGAACGUCAAUGAAACACCUCUCUUCUAAUAUCGAGAGCCUCACUGCUUCGCAUGAUCUGCGAAGGGGACAAUGCCUGGUGGGCAGUUUAUCUGGGGCGGAUUCCUGCUAAAAGGUAACGCAGGAGCUCAAAGGUUCCCUUAACGCCGAUGGAAAUGGCGUUGUAAGUGCAAAGAUAUAUGGGAGCUUGACUGCAAGACUUACAAGUCGCGCAGAUACGAAAGUAGGACUUAGUGAUCUUCCGAGUGCUUAGUGGUAGGCCCGGAACUUAUCGGAUAAAAGCUACCCCGGGGAUAACAGGCUGAUCUUACCCGAGCGUCCACAGCGGCGGUAAGGUUUGGCACCUCGAUGUCGUCUCGUCAUAUCCUGGAGCUGGAGCAGGUUCCAAGGGUCCGGCUGUU
rnacentral:rRNA from 1 species